rnacentral:rRNA from 1 species
GACGAACGCUGGCGGCGUGCUUAACACAUGCAAGUCGAACGGAAAGGCCCUGCUUUUGUGGGCUGCUCGAGUGGCGAACGGGUGCGUAACACGUGAGUAACCUGCCCUUGACUUUGGGAUAACUUCAGGAAACUGGGGUUACUACCGGAUAGGAGCUCCUGCUGCAUGGUGGGGGUUGGAAAGUUUCGGCGGGUGGGGAUGGACUCGCGGCUUAUCAGCUUGUUGGUGGGGUAGUGGCUUACCAAGGCUUUGACGGGUAGCCGGCAUGGGAGGGUGACCGGCGACAAUGGGACUGAGGUACGGACCAGACUGCUACGGGAGGCAGCGGUGGGGAAUAUUACACAGUGGGCGGGAGCCUGAUGCAGCGACGCCGCGUGCGGGAUGACGGCCUGCGGGUUGUAAACCGCUUUCGCCUGUGACGAAGCGUGAGUGACGGUAAUGGGUGAAGAAGCACCGGCUAACUACGUG